rnacentral:rRNA from 1 species
CAGCAGCCCGAGUGGUGGUCGUUUUUAUUGGGCCUAAAGCGUCCGUAGCCGGUCUAGUAAAUCCUUGGAUAAAUCGUACAGCUUAACUGUACGGCUCCCGGGGAGACUGCUAGACUUGGGACUGGGAGAGGUCGGAGGUACUCCUGGGGUAGGGGUGAAAUCUUGUAAUCCUUGGGGGACCACCAGUGGCGAAGGCGUCCGACUAGAACGGGUCCGACGGUAAGGGACGAAGCCCUGGGGCGCGAACCGGAUUAGAUACCCGAGUAGUCC